rnacentral:tRNA from 1 species
GGUUCCAUGGUGUAGUGGUUAGCACUCUGGACUUUGAAUCUAGUGACUUGGGUUCAACUCUUGGUGGGACCU